UGGUGUCGCCGCGGACAGUUAAAGUUAAACGUUCAGUACUUACCGUACUCUGUGAUUCGGCAAAGACGUUAUAUUAGAGUAGUGUUCCAAAUCAGACAAGUGCGGAGCACGCGAAAACUUCCGAGAAUCGUUUGCUUCAGAAAGCUCGGCGAAAAGAGCGAUCAGCUAGCGGAAGCAAAACACAAAUCGUUGUCGAGCUUGCAGUUUCCAUUUUCAAUUACGUUCACUUCUGUUCUGGCCACGAAAUAUUUUUGUGUUGUAUUCGGUUCAUUCGGUUUUAUAAUUUUUUUGAGUUGCAUUUUCCACAAGUGUUGAAGACAGGCCAACGAGCUGAUAAAACAAGAUGUAAAAGUAGAGCCAUUAGCCACUAGCCAAAACCCAUCGACAAUUUUCGCGUGGUCGCAGCCAGUCUGUGAGCCGCCACAGAGCGGUGCUAAUCAUCGCUAAACAAACGCUGAAAAGUUUAUUUAUAGUAAUCGCAUGGAACUCUCUGCAAGAAUUGGCCAGUGACGGGAAAGACGAUGGCUGUGUCAGGGCUGCUGGCGACCAUGGCCGUGACGUCAAUGCGGACCGAGUGAGACAUAGACGCACGCCCGGUACUCGCAAUCCAAGUGACGAGGUGUCAAUGGCACGUGAACACCAUAAGCAGCAAGGCAAACAGAAGCCCCUAUCUGGUUCUAGACCACAUCGGAGGAGGAGCCGCCUGCGAGCCACUUCUCAAGCGGUGUCGAUGGCUCUGUUUGCUUUAGGAUUGCUGCUACUGAAUAUGCGGCCGGCGGCGGCCGGCACCUGCUGGCAGACCCACCUGGGCAGCGGCAAGUGCAGCCAGAUAUUCUCCACGAACAUCACCAAGUCGGAAUGCUGUGGCGCCAGCCAGACCUUCUCCUACACCGAUCGCGAGCUGAGCAGCGUGGAGUACUUCUUUGCGACGGCCAUCGGAGGCGGCGUCGAGUGCGCUCCGUGCAUUGUUUAAGCACCCAGUUUUACGCGCAUAAGAGUGUUUCCCACACGCAUACAGCGAUGCGUUCCGUUUCUGAAAUGCGGAAAAUAUCAAUUUUAUCUUGUCUAGUACAGCGCACAAACACAAAUAGAAAUAAAAGCAUUUGAUCCUCCACAUAUGAUGCCUUUAGCGAAAUCUUAGACGGAAUUAACUGGGUCUCACACCGGACAUCUUUUGUACAGGCGGUGAUUUGAAGGAGCGUACAGGCAUUUGAGUUUGAGUUCACUAGCAUUGAACAAUUUGGCGCUGCUUUGGCAUGCGAUAUACGCACGGCAGCUUCAAAUGCUCGCCGAGGAAAUCCUGCAAACCGAUCCAGCGGGAGUGCGAAUGGCCAAACUGUCCAUUGAAAAAGGAACAGCACAGAUAUUCUUGCCGUACAACGGGAGCGGCACAACAUUAGACGUCGACCAACCAGUCGAUAGCAAUGACAAUGCCAUCCGGCCCAACGAGCCACCUUUGCACGAUCGAGAUGCGGCCAAUGUGCUCCUGGCGGGAGAACAGCAGAAAGGCAGCCGCAGUUAUUUCAUUUGUAAAAAUCAAAGUUUAAUUUGAAAUUACCUCCUAAAAAUAGGCAGUCAAAAAUUGUAUUUGUUGAUCGUGCGAGGUUUCAUAAAGCUGUUAAACUUA